CUCCCGGAAGAAAGAGAGGACAGGCUAUUCUGCAGAGCAUCUUCCUUUGCCAAAGUCAAGAAAUUUUUGUUUCAGAUGAAAAUGUGAGGUCUUACACCAGUAAGAAAAGCUACAAGGGCUGUACAUACUGAUUUGACCUGUCAUCUGCAUUAGCGACUUUCUACAAAUGAUUUGGUUUUUAAGGAAAUGCCCAAAUGUUCAUCACACACUCCACAGAGAAACCUGGGAACAAUCACUGCAACCAGUUAGCAUAGAUGCGACAGCAAAAGCCGAGUCUCCUAGUGGCUUGAGAAGUCAAAGAAGUAUGAGAAAUAAAGUAACCUGGGGCUGAUGGACUGAUUAUGUGCUGAAAAGACAUACUUUGACUUCAUGUGUAUGACAACCCCGAGCAACUCUGAAGACAGAAUUCCUUCAGCAGGAGGCUGGACUGGCCAAUCUCCACAAGUCUCUUCCUAAAUCAUUCUCUGAUCCUAUUCUGGUAAACUGGCUGCAAACCAGACCAUUCUUUCUGUUUUCACCAUUUAUCCAAUGCUGCUAAAACAGAUGGCAAAGAAGAUCUCUAGACAAGGCUUACUUUAUGCCACAAAAAUAUAUUAUUGUAUAUUUAUAAUAAAAGGUAUAUAGAAAAAGGUAUUUGCUUCAAAGGGA